UACAGAGGAUGCAAGCGUUAUCCGGAAUGAUUGGGCGUAAAGCGUCUGUAGGUGGCUUUUUAAGUCCGCCGUCAAAUCCCAGGGCUCAACUCUGGAUAGGCGGUGGAAACUACCAAGCUGGAGUACGGUAGGGCAGAGGGAAUUUCCGGUGGAGCGGUGAAAUGCGUAGAGAUCGGAAGGAACACCAACGGCGAAAGCACUCUGCUGGGCCGACACUGACACUGAGAGACGAAAGCUAGGGAGCGAAUGGG
rnacentral:rRNA from 1 species